rnacentral:rRNA from 1 species
AGAGUUUGAUCCUGGCUCAGGAUGAACGCUGGCGGCGUGCCUAAUACAUGCAAGUCGAGCGAACAGACGAGGAGCUUGCUCCUCUGACGUUAGCGGCGGACGGGUGAGUAACACGUGGGUAACCUACCUAUAAGACUGGGAUAACUUCGGGAAACCGGAGCUAAUACCGGAUAAUAUUUCGAACUGCAUGGUUCGAUAGUGAAAGAUGGCUUUGCUAUCACUUAUAGAUGGACCUGCGCCGUAUUAGCUAGUUGGUAAGGUAACGGCUUACCAAGGCAACGAUACGUAGCCGACCUGAGAGGGUGAUCGGCCACACUGGAACUGAGACACGGUCCAGACUCCUACGGGAGGCAGCAGUAGGGAAUCUUCCGCAAUGGGCGAAAGCCUGACGGAGCAACGCCGCGUGAGUGAUGAAGGUCUUCGGAUCGUAAAACUCUGUUAUUAGGGAAGAACAAACGUGUAAGUAACUGUGCACGUCUUGACGGUACCUAAUCAGAAAGCCACGGCUAACUACGUG